AGCCCUUAAACGGCGAAAAUGCGAAUGGCUCAUUAAAUCAGUUAUCGUAUAUUUGAUAGUACCUACUACAUGGAUAACCGUGGUAAUUCUAGAGCUAAUACAUGCUUAAAAUCCCGACUUCGGAAGGGAUGUAUUUAUUAGAUUAAAAACCAAUGCCCUUCGGGGCUCACUGGUGAUUCAUAAUAACUUCUCGAAUCGCAUGGCCUUGUGCCGGCGAUGGUUCAUUCAAAUUUCUGCCCUAUCAACUUUCGACGGCUGGGUAUUGGCCAGCCGUGGUUACAACGGGUAACGGAGGGUUAGGGCUUGACCCCGGAGAAGGAGCCUGAGAAACGGCUACUACAUCCAAGGAAGGCAGCAGGCGCGCAAAUUACCCAAUCCCGAUACGGGGAGGUAGUGACAAUAAAUACUGAUACAGGGCUCUUUUGGGUCUUGUAAUUGGAAUGAGUACAAUUUAAAUCCCUUAACGAGGAACAAUUGGAGGGCAAGUCUGGUGCCAGCAGCCGCGGUAAUUCCAGCUCCAAUAGCGUAUAUUAAAGUUGUUGCAGUUAAAAAGCUCGUAGUUGAACCUUGGGCCUGGCUGGCCGGUCUGCCUCACCGCAUGCACUGGUCCGGCCGGGUCUUUCCCUCUGGGGAUCCGCAUGCCCUUCAUUGGGUGUGUCGGGGAACCAGGACUUUUACUGUGAAAAAAUUAGAGUGUUCAAAGCAGGCCUAUGCUCGAAUACAUUAGCAUGGAAUAAUAGAAUAGGACGUGUGGUUCUAUUUUGUUGGUUUCUAGGACCGCCGUAAUGAUUAAUAGGGACAGUCGGGGGCAUCAGUAUUCAAUCGUCAGAGGUGAAAUUCUUGGAUCGAUUGAAGACUAACUACUGCGAAAGCAUUUGCCAAGGAUGUUUUCAUUAAUCAGGAACGAAAGUUAGGGGAUCGAAAACGAUCAGAUACCGUUGUAGUCUUAACCAUAAACUAUGCCGACUAGGGAUCGGACGAUGUUAUUUCUUGACUCGUUCGGCACCUUACACGAAAGUAAAGUUUUGGGUUCUGGGGGGAGUAUGGUCGCAAGCUGAAACUUAAGGAAUUGACGG
rnacentral:rRNA from 1 species